rfam:Triticum aestivum genome assembly, contig: Triticum_aestivum_CS42_TGACv1_scaffold_486293_6AS
CUUGUACUUCCUCUGUUCCGAAUUAUUUGUCGCAUGUAUGAAUGUAUCUAGAUGUAUUUUAGUUUUAAAUACAUCCAUUUUCGCGACAAGUAAUUUGGAACGGAGGGAGUAUACA